GGUUAAUACCCUGUGCGGAUGACGGUACCGGCAUAAGAAGCACCGGCUAACUACGUGCCAGCAGCCGCGGUAAUACGUAGGGUGCGAGCGUUAAUCGGAAUUACUGGGCGUAAAGCGUGCGCAGGCGGUUUUGUAAGACAGGCGUGAAAUCCCCGGGCUCAACCUGGGAACUGCGCUUGUGACUGCAAGGCUAGAGUACGGCAGAGGGGGGUGGAAUUCCACGUGUAGCAGUGAAAUGCGUAGAGAUGUGGAGGAACACCAAUGGCGAAGGCAGCCCCCUGGGUCGAUACUGACGCUCAUGCACGAAAGCGUGGGUAGCAAAACAGGAUUAGAUACCCUGGUAGUCCACGCCCUAAAACGAUGUCAACUAGGGUGUUUGGGUGGGUAAAAACCAUUUAGUACCGUAGCUAACGCGUGAAGUUGACCGCCUGGGGAGUACGGCCGCAAGGUUAAAAACUCAAAGGAAUUGACGGGG
rnacentral:rRNA from 1 species